UGGGGAAUAUUGCGCAAUGGGCGAAAGCCUGACGCAGCGACACCGCGUGGAGGAUGAAGGUCUUCGGAUUGUAAACUUCUGUUAAGUGGGAAGAAAGCCUCAGUUCUAAUAAAACUGAGUGAUGACGGUACCAUUAGAGAAAGCACCGGCUAAACUCGUGCCAGCAGCCGCGGUAAUACGAGUGGUGCAAACGUUAUUCGGAAUAAUUGGGCGUAAAGGGUGUGUAGACGGCGUAUUAAGUCAACUGUUAAAUUCUCCGGCCUAACCGGAGGCAAGCGGUAGAAACUGAUAUGCUAGAGGGUGGAAGAGAGAAGUGGAAUUCUCGGAGUAGCGGUAAAAUGCGUAGAUCUCGAGAGGAACACCGAUGGCGAAGGCAGCUUCUUAGUCCAUUCCUGACGUUGAAACACGAAAGCGUGGGGAGCAAACAGGAUUAGAUACCCGUGUAGUCC
rnacentral:rRNA from 1 species